AGUGAACGCUGGCGGUAUGCCUAACACAUGCAAGUCGAACGGCAGCACAGUAAUUUCUUUCUCUUACGGUUUUCGAGUGUCGUACGGGUGAUGUAUACAUCGGAAUCUACUUUUUCGUGGGUGAUAACGUAGGGUAACUUACUCUAAUACCUCAUACGACCUACUGUUUAAAGCAGUGGUUCUUCGUACCUUUCGCGUUUGUAUUAGCCGAUGUCGGAUUAGCUAGUUGGCGGGGUAAAGUCCCACCAAGGCGACGAUCCGUAGCUGGUCUGAGAGGAUGAUCAGAAACACUGGAACUGAGACACGGUCCAGACGACGACGGGAGGAAGCAGUGGGGAAUAUGGGACAAUGGGGGCAAGCAUGAUAAAGCAAGACCGCGUGGGUGAAGAAGGACUUCGGGUUGUAAAGAACUUUUGUUGGGAAAGAAAAGAAGCAGGUGAAUAACACGAUGGAAUGACGGUACCGAAAGAAUAAGCAACGGCUAACUUCGUG
rnacentral:rRNA from 1 species